UGGGGAAUUUUGGACAGUGGGCGCAAGCCUGAUCCAGCCAUGCCGCGUGCGGGAAGAAGGCCUUCGGGUUGUAAACCGCUUUUGUCAGGGAAGAAAUCUUCUGAGUUAAUACCUCGGGAGGAUGACGGUACCUGAAGAAUAAGCACCGGCUAACUACGUGCCAGCAGCCGCGGUAAUACGUAGGGUGCAAGCGUUAACCGGAAUUACUGGGCGUAAAGCGUGCGCAGGCGGUUUUGUAAGACAGAGGUGAAAUCCCCGGGCUCAACCUGGGGACUGCCUUUGUGACUGCAAGGCUUGAGUGCGGCAGAGGGGGAUGGAAUUCCGCGUGUAGCAGUGAAAUGCGUAGAUAUGCGGAGGAACACCGAUGGCGAAGGCAAUCCCCUGGGCCUGCACUGACGCUCAUGCACGAAAGCGUGGGGAGCAAACAGGAUUAGAUACCCUGGUAGUCCACGCCCUAAACGAUGUCAACUGGUUGUUGGGAAGGUUCCUUCUCAGUAACGUAGCUAACGCGUGAAGUUGACCGCCUGGGGAGUACGGCCGCAAGGUUG
rnacentral:rRNA from 1 species